rnacentral:lncRNA from 1 species
GCAAUCCCUGGAGACGAGUCGAAGGGGCCCGAGGCCCCGAGAAGGGCAGGAUGCGAUGCUGGGUGUGUGACCUCAGCCAUGGAAGGGCCACCUGCCACCGGGGGGCUGGGCCGUCGGGCCUUUGGUUGUGGAGGGAAAAGAGUGGCCACUUGCUGGAGCUGGGAACGUGCAGUGAUGAGCACUAGGACAAGAGGACCGUGACAAACAGACAUAGAAGAUCUGGAGACUGGGGAAGUCCAAGAUCAAGGCUCCAGCAGAUUCAGUAUCUGGAAACCUGGUUGGGGCUUCAACAGGAACACCUGCAAGGACCAGCUGACUUCCUGCCCAGACACCCUUGCAUUCUCAGCCUCUGCCUGGGAGGAGGAAGAGGCACUUCCACAUUUCUUGUGACAGGACAGCAUUGAGUUCAUUGCCUCAAAAUUGCUGCGCUCUCCUUCUGCCAGUGCCCAGAGAUGCUCCCCACACCACACUGCACUGCUGGGGGAUGUUAGAGGUGAUUCAAGACAGUUUUUCCUACCUCUUCAGUGCCUCUUUCAGCAAUAUGAAGUUAAAACCAGGUACUAUGAGAACUCACCUGAUUUUUAGUUCUUAUGAAGGUGCUUUCCUUGUGUAAAUAUUUGUUAAAUUGUUUUCCUUGCCAGAGGAAUGAUCAGUGGAGCCUUCUAUUCUGCCACCUUUCUCUGCCUCUCUCCAAUCCUCUUACCUUUUUCACACAGCCUUCGUGGUUAUCACAGAGACUUAAGAUGGAAUGUUAAAUACACUCUUUUAUAUUGGAAAUAAAAUGAAAACCAGAUAUAAACAAAUAAACAAGCCACGGAGAAAAGAAAACAAACUUUGAAUAAUUAAUUUAUUGUAACUCAUAAGCCCAGCGUUGUAUAAAAAAUGUUGUCAUCCUGUUAUAUUUCUUUGUCUUCUUCCUGUUAGCAAGAAUUUGGCUUUUAACUUCUAAGCACUAUCCCUGUUUCUCUGUAGUGGUGCAUCCCAGAAUGGCCAUUCCUAGCUUUUUGAUUAAAUACUCUUUAAAAUAGAAA